GAGAGAGACCAGCUGUGGUCGAGCGAGUUAGAGAGUGAAUGAAGAGACGGAGCGGUGGUAGUGAGAAGCAGAGAAAAGCAGUGGGGGUCACAGUUUCCUGCCUGCAAGAUAGAUAAACUUCUCCAAAGGGAAACUUUUUGGAUUUUCAAAUUUGAUGCAACGGCAUUUCCUGGUUUAAAUGAGGAGAUUGAUUACACGCCUUUUCUAUAAAUGUAGAAUAUUAUUCAUGUAUAUGGUUACAUUAUUUAAGUAAUUGAUCUUUUUUUUUUUAGAAAUGUAUUGAUUUGAUGUAUACAAUCUUAAUAUUGCUUUGGUCAUUUAUUUCCCAUUUUUGUGCAGGAUAUUCUUUGAGUACUUGCAGAAGCUUGCCAUUUUAAACAUGGCUUCUCAUUGUGAUCCAUUUGCUGUCAAACACCUGCAUUCACUCAAUAAUCAGGAUUGGGUGACACCCCCUGCCAAGUUUAUAAAAUGUUUGCCUGUUGUUUGUUCGCUGUUGUACCCUGAUGAAGACCUUUAUAGUCAAAACUGGUCGUUUUUUUUUAAUUAUAAGUAGCCAUGUUGAAUAAAAGCUUUUUAACUUAAUCACAGAGUUUGUUUUUUUUCCUUCUAUGUGAUGACCGUUAUCUUCAAGAGCACCUGCAUUUUUCUUGA